rnacentral:misc_RNA from 1 species
GCCGCCCAGCAUCUUUUGUGCUGCAAUCCGUGAUAAUUUGACGGAUACAGUUUAGCGCGUCAAUCAGUUUGUUCUCAGGUUGUCUCCUCACAAGGAGUGGCAGGCAACGAGCACGAUGUCGGACCUGAAGAUUGGUUUCUUGGGAUGUGGCAGCAUGGGUGAAUGCAUCAUGGCAGGUAUGCUGAAGGCCAAGGCGUUAGGGCCAGAGAAUACCUUUGUUUGCAAUCGAAGCGCAUCUACAAAUGAACGGCUGGUUUCCCUGUACCAGGUGAGGAGCGUGAGUGCUGUUGAGCUGGCUGAACAGUCGGAUAUCAUCAUGCUGGGCGUGAAGCCGUACGGGAUUGUGCCUGUUCUGGAGACGAUCAAGAAGAAGAUAACACCCUCCAAGCUCGUUAUAUCCAUGGCUGCCGGUGUACCUACAGCAACGAUCGAAAACCAUUGCCCUCCGAAAACAAAAGUCGUGCGGGUGAUGCCGAACAUUCCUUCAUUUGUGGGGGAGGGAGUAACAUCGAUCAGUGGUAACUCUGCUGUGACGCCUGAUGACGAGGCGGUAGUGGUGAAGCUGUUCAGUGCGAUUGGAAAGGCGUACCUUGUGGCGGAGUCGGCGAUCCACGGAGUCGUCGGUGUGGCCGGGUCUUCCCCCGCGUAUGUUUUCAUGUUUAUGGAGGCUCUGAGCGACGGCGCUGUGCGUGGUGGUAUUCCCCGAGCGCAGUCCUAUGAAAUGGCUGCUCAGGCCGUUCUCGGUGCGGCAAAAAUGCUGCAGGAGAGCGGCAAAACACCUGGUGCUCUGAAGGACAUGGUUUGCUCGCCGGGCGGGACAACCAUCGAGGCCGUUCGUUUUCUGGAGAAAGGCGGGAUGCGCUCAUCUAUUAUUGAAGCGAUGAUUCAGUGUAUGGAGAAGUCUAAGGAAUUCGAGAGAAUGUAUAGCGAAUAAGGUACAUCUGGAUUCUUUUCUAUUUUUCUCUGUACUGAUUUAUCUUCCCUCGUCGCGAAUUGCUGUGCUUGUAGGCUUUUGUGAUGUACUGUAUCGAAUUUUUUUUUUGCUUUGUGGAAGAUAAAACGUACAUAUAUUAUUUUUUCGUGGCUUAUCUAUGAUUACUGUUUUUUCGCUUGAGGGGAAGGAUGAAAAAUUCAUUUCAGCUUUUUUGCCACACAGAGAUCGACGCCAAAAGAAAAAUGAGAAAUUAGUAGUAUUAAACGCACCCACUUUGCCGGUUGUUUUUUUUUUUUCUCAUCAUUGGUUUACAAUCCACCGAAAGAAAGAAAGUUGUGUUUUCAGGCUGUAGUC